GACACCGCCCCCCGGGAGUCUGGCCUUGGCGCUUCCUCUGCCCCAGCGGACCGCGGUUCACAGCCUCGCCCAGCCCCGCAGGGAGAGCUCCGGGAGGCGCCCCUAGAAGGACAGGAGGAGAGGCGAGCCCCGAACUAGCUGGUCUGGGCGGCCGGGGAGGAAGCUGUUAAUGAGGGAACUUAAGCAGAUAUAGAAUGAAAAGGAGGUUUCAAAGGCAGAGGAAAAAGUCAAGUUGACUACUGAAAAAAAUACAUAAUUUAAAUUGCCAAAUACCUGAUUCCAUCACAGAGAUGAGGAUAAUGGCCCUUAGAAGUUCUAAACAUAUUGGAUCCAGCGGUUCUAAACAUACUGGUUUCAGCAA